rnacentral:lncRNA from 10 species
AUGCACGCAUUUGUAAUGUGGACAGGAGACACGCACAGCAACUUGGGGUAGGGAAGAGAGUCUGGAUGGGAGACAUCAGACAUCACUAUGUCAUGGAGAACCCCCUGCAACUGCAUAAAGCAAGCGCAUUGCAGUCAGUACCCAACUACUGCCAAGUGACCACAGCAAAGCUCGAGGGUUUGGGUGGCAUCUGGCUAGCACAGAGUUGAGCAAGACUAUCACCUCCUCCCAUAUAUAAUCUAUGCUCCUGUUAAUGCAACCUGAGUGCAUGUUAGCUUUUUUGACGACCACACCACAACAUUCACACUGAGCUGAUGACCAUUAGAAACUCCUAAGAUUUUCUCAUGUGCCUUCUCUGGUGCAGUAAAGUUUUGUCCCCGAGUGGAGUCCUUAUUAAGUAUCAUCUAUCCUUUUCGCCUAUCUGGAUUAAUGCUUAUUGAAUAUGUGGCUUAAGGGUCUGUGACUGCAUGACCUUGUUAAGGCAUGAAACAUACAGAUAAAUAGUGUUGCUUAGAGGAGUUUCAGGGUGGUUCGUGCCAACUUGUCAGCAUUGUUUUCUAAUAACAAGGGACUAACAAUUUGUACCUGGCCUUCGUGAGACCCCUGGAGGGAACUGCCACUGGCGCUGGUUUCGUAGCAAGAAUAUACCUCAAAUGACCAAACAGGAAUGAAAAACUUCAGAUGGUUUAGGUGCCAGUGGCUUCCGAAUAAAACAGCAUUCUUGAAGUGAACAGCUGAUGAGGACAUGAAAUAUUAUGCCAAAGCUGGCAUCACACUGUUCUUUUUCCUGGAUGAAAAUCUCUCUGAGAAGCAUUUGCUCUUAACUUUGGUGUCCUGGGGACUGCUGCCUUAUCCCAGGAAGCCACCCAGAGUCUUGGAUGUGUGGGAUCCUUAGGACUUCAUGGUAAACCUGCUCUAGUCCCUCGGGUUAGUAAAAUGAAGCCCAGGACAUCUGAGAGCCCCCAGCACUUCCAUAGAAAUGGACCAAAAUCCCUUCUCCCAGGGGGAGAAACCUGGAAUAAGCUCAAGAGGACAGACGGCUAAAUUUUCAAGAAUCGUGUGAGCUGCUGUUAAACAAGCCAUUAUUAAAACUUUAAUUGUGUAAACUUACAAUUAGGUCAGUUAUAUUAAAAGUAAAAGUGAUACAUA